UGCAGCGACGCCGCGUGGGGGAUGACGGCCUUCGGGUUGUAAACCUCUUUCAGUAGGGACGAAGCGCAAGUGACGGUACCUAUAGAAGAAGGACCGGCCAACUACGUGCCAGCAGCCGCGGUAAUACGUAGGGUCCGAGCGUUGUCCGGAAUUACUGGGCGUAAAGAGCUCGUAGGUGGUUUGUCACGUUGUUCGUGAAAACCCACAACUCAAUUGUGGGCGUGCGGGCGAUACGGGCAGACUAGAGUACUGCAGGGGAGACUGGAAUUCCUGGUGUAGCGGUGGAAUGCGCAGAUAUCAGGAGGAACACCGGUGGCGAAGGCGGGUCUCUGGGCAGUAACUGACGCUGAGGAGCGAAAGCGUGGGGAGCGAACAGGAUUAGAUACCCUGGUAGUCCACGCCGUAAACGGUGGGUACUAGGUGUGGGUUUCCUUCCUUGGGAUCCGUGCCGUAGCUAACGCAUUAAGUACCCCGCCUGGGGAGUACGGCCGCAAGGCUAAAACUCAAAGAAAUUGACGGGGGCCCGCACAAGCGGCGGAGCAUGUGGAUUAAUUCGAUGCAACGCGAAGAACCUUACCUGGGUUUGACAUGCACAGGACGUGCCUAGAGAUAGGUAUUCCCUUGUGGUCUG
rnacentral:rRNA from 1 species